rnacentral:tRNA from 1 species
CAGAAAAUAGUUAAAUUUAGAAUACUGGCUUUGGGA